GGGCGCAAGCCCUGACGGAGCAACGCCGCGUGAGGGAUGAAGGCCUCUGGGCUGUAAACCUCUUUUCUCAAGGAAGAAGAUCUGACGGUACUUGAGGAAUAAGCCACGGCUAAUUCCGUGCCAGCAGCCGCGGUAAUACGGGAGUGGCAAGCGUUAUCCGGAAUUAUUGGGCGUAAAGCGUCCGCAGGCGGCCUCGAAAGUCUGUCGUUAAAGCGUGGAGCUUAACUCCAUUUAAGCGGUGGAAACUACGAGGCUAGAGUGUGGUAGGGGCAGAGGGAAUUCCCGGUGUAGCGGUGAAAUGCGUAGAUAUCGGGAAGAACACCAGUGGCGAAGGCGCUCUGCUGGGCCAUAACUGACGCUCAUGGACGAAAGCCAGGGGAGCGAAAGGGAUUAGAUACCCCUGUAGUCCUGGCCGUAAACGAUGAACACUAGGUGUCGGGGGAAUCGACCCCCUCGGUGUCG
rnacentral:rRNA from 1 species